AAGACCUUGCACUUUUGGAGCGGCCGAUGUCUGAUUAGCUAGUUGGUGGGGUAAUGGCCUACCGAAGCUUCGAUCAGUAGCUGGUCUGAGAGGACGGCCAGCCACACUGGGACUGAGACACGGCCCAGACUCCUACGGGAGGCAGCAGUGGGGAAUUUUGGACAAUGGGCGCAAGCCUGAUCCAGCCAUGCCGCGUGAGUGAAGAAGGCCUUCGGGUUGUAAAGCUCUUUCAGCCGGGAAGAAAAGGUUGCGACUAAUAAUCGCAAUUCAUGACGGUACCGAAAGAAGAAGCACUGGCUAACUACGUGCCAGCAGCCGCGGUAAUACGUAGGGUGCGAGCGUUAAUCGGAAUUACUGGGCGUAAAGGGUGCGCAGGCGGUUUUGUAAGUCAGAUGUGAAAUCCCCGGGCUUAACCUGGGAACU
rnacentral:rRNA from 1 species